UACGAAGGGGGCUAGCGUUGCUCGGAAUCACUGGGCGUAAAGCGCACGUAGGCGGCUUGUUAAGUCAGGGGUGAAAUCCUGGAGCUCAACUCCAGAACUGCCUUUGAUACUGGCGAGCUUGAGUUCGGGAGAGGUGAGUGGAACUGCGAGUGUAGAGGUGAAAUUCGUAGAUAUUCGCAAGAACACCCGUGGCGAAGGCGGCUCUCUGGGACGGUACUGACGCUGAGACGCGAAAGCGUGGGGAGCGAACAGG
rnacentral:rRNA from 1 species